UACGUAGGGUGCGAGCGUUGUCCGGAAUUAUUGGGCGUAAAGGGCUCGUAGGCGGUCUGUCGCGUCGGGAGUGAAAACUCAGGGCUUAACCCUGAGCCUGCUUCCGAUACGGGCAGACUAGAGGUAUGCAGGGGAGAACGGAAUUCCUGGUGUAGCGGUGGAAUGCGCAGAUAUCAGGAGGAACACCGGUGGCGAAGGCGGCAUCCUGGACCGACACUGACGCUGAGGAGCGAAAGCCAGGGGAGCAAACGGG
rnacentral:rRNA from 1 species